rnacentral:pre_miRNA from 1 species
GGGAGCAAUUUUUUGUCAAAAAUUGGUUUUUUGAAGGAAAUUUUCUGCAGCGUUGUAGGGGGAAACGUCAAAUUUCUGUCAAAAAACCAAUUUUUGACGAAAAUUACUCC